rnacentral:rRNA from 1 species
UAGGGAAUCUUCCGCAACGGACGCAAGUCUGACGGAGCAACGCCGCGUGAGUGAAGAAGGAUUUCGGUUCGUAAAACUCUGUUGUUAGAGAAGAACAGCGCAUAGAGUAACUGUUAUGCGUGUGACGGUAUCUAACCAGAAAGCCACGGCUAACUACGUGCCAGCAGCCGCGGUAAUACGUAGGUGGCAAGCGUUGUCCGGAUUUAUUGGGCGUAAAGCGAGCGCAGGCGGUCAAUUAAGUCUGAUGUGAAAGCCCCCGGCUCAACCGGGGAGGGUCAUUGGAAACUGGUUGACUUGAGUGCAGAAGAGGAGAGUGGAAUUCCAUGUGUAGCGGUGAAAUGCGUAGAUAUAUGGAGGAACACCAGUGGCGAAGGCGACUCUCUGGUCUGUAACUGACGCUGAGGCUCGAAAGCGUGGGUAGCAAACAGG